CCCAGCCUCACAUCACUAAGUUUGGACCAAGAGAGCCACAUUGCCCUUCCCAGCUGGCCCCUGGCCUUCCCCUGCCCUCCUCAGCCUCACUCGGUUUCUGAACUUUCCCUGUUCAUUACAGGAGCGCAGGGCCCUGGAACGCAAGGCCGCAGAGCUAGAGGAGGAGCUGAAGGCCCUGUCUGACCUCCGCGCCGACAACCAGCGCCUCAAGGAUGAGAAUGCAGCGUUGAUCCGCGUCAUCAGCAAACUCUCCAAGUGACCGGAAGGGACUUCCUGCACCCGUAUUUAUACAGCUGCUUCUGCCACACGCACCCUUCCCCCGUGUGAACACGAGUGACAGGGCUCCGGGGGAAGUCUCAGAGAAGCCAUAGCCCCCCUGGGACCUCCGGACUGGGAGGGGAGCAGAGUCCCCAGGAGCCAAGGGGCCACCCGAGGCCAGGAUGGAGGUGGGAGGCUGAGCCAAGUAGGAGGACGUUGCCAGAGGGGACCAGGACCAGAGAUGGGACCAGGAAGGAACUGAGGACCAAGAAGUGCAAGGAUCAGUAGCUAGGACCAGAGUGGCCGCCUGGAGGUCCCCAUCUCACGUGUGAUGUCACCCCGUCACCCCUCCCCUCCUGAGCAGGGAUCCAAGAAUGUGCCAAGUCCCGCCAGCCUCAGCCAGGUGGGCCUGUAUAUAGGGUCCAUGUGCAAUAGGGAGGGACGUCUUCUAUUUUUUGCUGCCCCCUCCCCGCCCACUGUCUGGGGCAGGGGGAGAAGGUAUUUUCGAGAUAAAGCACAGGCACCACAAAUAAAAGUCGUGAAGUUGCCACUCAA